rnacentral:rRNA from 1 species
AUUGAACGCUGGCGGAAUGCUUUACACAUGCAAGUCGAACGGUAGAGGGGGCAACCCCUCGAGAGUGGCGAACGGGUGAGUAAUAUAUCGGAACGUGCCCAGUCGUGGGGGAUAACGUAGCGAAAGUUACGCUAAUACCGCAUACGAUCUAAGGAUGAAAGCGGGGAUCGCAAGACCUCGCGCGAAUGGAGCGGCCGAUAUCAGAUUAGGUAGUUGGUGGGGUAAAGGCUCACCAAGCCAACGAUCUGUAGCUGGUCUGAGAGGACGACCAGCCACACUGGAACUGAGACACGGUCCAGACUCCUACGGGAGGCAGCAGUGGGGAAUUUUGGACAAUGGACGCAAGUCUGAUCCAGCCAUUCCGCGUGCAGGAUGAAGGCCCUCGGGUUGUAAACUGCUUUUGUACGGAACGAAAAGGUCUCUCUUAAUACGGGGGACUCAUGACGGUACCGUAAGAAUAAGCACCGGCUAACUACGUGCCAGCCGCCGCGGUAAGAC